CUACAGAGGGUGCGAGCGUUAAUCGGAAUUACUGGGCGUAAAGCGCGCGUAGGCGGCUUAUUAAGUCAGAUGUGAAAUCCCCGGGCUCAACCUGGGAACUGCAUCUGAUACUGGUAAGCUAGAGUUUGGGAGAGGGAAGUAGAAUUUCAGGUGUAGCGGUGAAAUGCAUAGAGAUCUGAAGGAAUACCAGUGGCGAAGGCGACUUCCUGGCCUAAAACUGACGCUGAGGUGCGAAAGCGUGGGUAGCAAACGGGAUUAGAAACCCCGGUAGUCC
rnacentral:rRNA from 1 species